AGCGAACGCUGGCGGCAGGCUUAACACAUGCAAGUCGAGCGCCCGUGGCAACACGGGAGCGGCAGACGGGUGAGUAACACGUGGGGACGUGCCCUUCGGUUCGGAAUAACUCAGGGAAACUUGGAUUAAUACCGGAUACGUCCGCAAGGAGAAAGAUUUAUCGCCGAAGGAGCGGCCCGCGUCUGAUUAGCUUGUUGGUGAGGUAACGGCUCACCAAGGCGACGAUCAGUAGCUGGUCUGAGAGGAUGAUCAGCCACACUGGGACUGAGACACGGCCCAGACUCCUCCGGGAGGCAGCAGUGGGGAAUAUUGGACAAUGGGCGCAAGCCUGAUCCAGCCAGGCCGCGUGAGUGAUGAAGGCCCUAGGGUUGUAAAGCUCUUUCGGCGGGGAAGAUAAUGACGGUACCCGCAGAAGAAGCCCCGGCCAACUUCGUGCCAGCCGCCGCAGUAAUAC
rnacentral:rRNA from 1 species